rnacentral:lncRNA from 1 species
UGAUUUGACUUAUCCGCUUAAGUGAGAAAAGGAAGUUGAUUUAGCUUGAACCUUGAGCCAUAGAAGAGGACCUUUCAGAAGGACGACUGGCUUUAGCCCGAAUUAACCGAGAGUCAACCUAUUUAACCUAUUUAAAGGGGGAUUCUCCAUUUACUGUAUCGUAUCCUUUCUUGUGGUGAUGGAAAUAUAUAUGUAAGAUUGUUGUAGAAGUUUCCAGCCUCACAGGCUUUAGAUUGGACUAUGGAACCGAGCGAAGACCUUUGAGAUGGAUAUACCCCCGGGGAGAGUCCACUUAUGAAAUGGAUCCGGAUUAACCGCUUUCGACUGAGAUGUAACCUUCGCCUUUGCUUUGGUAUUCUAUGCGGCUUUCUCCAACUCUAAUCUCAGGUUUUCUUCUCUAUGAACUCUAUAGAUUGAUUGAUCCACAAAGAGUAUUGUACCUACUUCAGUAUAAGUUUCUCCUUAACCCUAUGGCACUUCGUUGCUUGCCUCCAGUGAGCUACCUUAAUUUUAAUAGAAAGGGAUCUUAUUCUUCCUUUUUCAGUGUGUGUACACGCUUAGAAAGACGGAAAAGAUGAACUCAGACUAAUAAAAAGGAAACGGAAACUUAUCUUCUGUCCCGUGCGUGCAAUUUCCCUUCCUGGUGCAACCUAGACCACAGGAGGCUACCAGCCCCUUCCUAAGGAUCUGAUCUAUCUCGUGGGACUCACUCCGGAAGUAUAAACAUUGAAGCGGUAAGGCUCUCAAAUGCGAGCAAACCCGAGAAAACAAACACAUACUAGUUCAACUAUGAGGACUUCGAAAGAGUACGUACUACGGGUCAGUACUAAAGGCUUCGUUAGCUAGUUCUCCUUUGUAAACCCACCGUAUCAACACCAGAACAUAUUCGAAGCUAUUCUGAAUGUCGCCACCGGACUAAUUGACCGCCCUAUCCUAUUAUCAUUCCUAUGAUUAGAUCGCCCACGGGCUAAAACCUUCGCCAUCGCCCUAGACUGCUAACAAAGAUUCUAACCCUACAGGAUCCUACCCUUCUACUAAACCUGACUUCCCGCUUAAGAAGUACUCGAUUC